rnacentral:rRNA from 1 species
AGUAAAUUGGUUAAGUUAGAAAGGGCGCACGGUGGAUGCCUUGGCACUAGGAGCCGAAGAAGGACGGGACUAACACCGAUAUGCUUUGGGGAGCUGUACGUAAGCGUUGAUCCAGAGAUUUCCGAAUGGGGGAACCCACUAUCUUUAGUCGGAUAGUAUCCUUACGUGAAUACAUAGCGUGAGGAAGGCAGACCCAGGGAACUGAAACAUCUAAGUACCUGGAGGAAGAGAAAGAAAAAUCGAUUUCCUGAGUAGCGGCGAGCGAAACGGAAAGAGCCCAAACCAAGAAGCUUGCUUCUUGGGGUUGUAGGACACUCUAUACGGAGUUACAAAAGAAAGUUAUAAAUGAAGCGGUCUGGAAAGGCCCGCCAAAGACGGUAACAGCCCGGUAGUUGAAAUAGCUUUCCCUCCAGAGUGGAUCCUGAGUACGG